rnacentral:rRNA from 1 species
GACGAACGCUGGCGGCGUGCUUAACACAUGCAAGUCGAACGGAAAGGCCCUGCUUGCAGGGUACUCGAGUGGCGAACGGGUGAGUAACACGUGGGUGAUCUGCCCUGCACUUCGGGAUAAGCUUGGGAAACUGGGUCUAAUACCGGAUAGGAACCAUCUUUAGUGUGGUGGUUGGAAAGUUUUUUCGGUGUAGGAUGAGCUCGCGGCCUAUCAGCUUGUUGGUGGGGUAAUGGCCUACCAAGGCGGCGACGGGUAGCCGGCCUGAGAGGGUGUACGGCCACAUUGGGACUGAGAUACGGCCCAGACUCCUACGGGAGGCAGCAGUGGGGAAUAUUGCACAAUGGGCGCAGGCCUGAUGCAGCGACGCCGCGUGGGGGAUGAAGGCCUUCGGGUUGUAAACUCCUUUCGCUAGGGACGAAGCUUUGUUGUGACGGUACCUAGAUAAGAAGCACCGGCUAACUACGUG